rnacentral:rRNA from 1 species
AGGACGAACGCUGGCGGCGUGCUUAACACAUGCAAGUGGAGCGACGAACCAGGGCUUGCCCUGGGGCAGAGCCGCGAACGGGUGAGUAACACGUGGGUUACCUGCCUCGAUGACCGGGACAACCCGAGGAAACUCGGGCUAAUACCGGAUGUGCCCGCAAGGGGAAAGGAAGCUUCGGCCUCCGCAUCGAGAUGGGCCCGCGGCCCAUUAGCUUGUUGGUGAGGUAACGGCUCACCAAGGCUUCGAUGGGUAGCUGGUCUGAGAGGACGAUCAGCCACACUGGGACUGAGACACGGCCCAGACUCCUACGGGAGGCAGCAGUGGGGAAUCUUGCGCAAUGGGGGAAACCCUGACGCAGCAACGCCGCGUGGAGGAUGAAGCCCCGUUGGGGCGUAAACUCCUUUCGAUCGGGAAGAUAAUGACGGUACCGAGAGAAGAGCCCGGCUAACUUCGUGCCAGCAGCCGC